AAGUCUGUACUUUCAGGGAUCAUUUCUGUAGGGUCUAACUAGGAAGUGUGAUUUGAAGGUGUUGUGUCUCUAUAAUCACAAUGAUGAGGUCUGAUGUGCUCUUCUGAGUAUGAAUCCGAUUGACGCUGAUGAUUCUUUCAUGAGCUUUAAUCAUAGAUGAAUGUUCUUCACUUUUUAGUAAGAGUGAGAGGAAAAGCACAUGAUCAGAGUGAU